CAAUGACCUGAGCUUGCUCUCAUUUUUCCUAUGAAGAAUUUCAACCUAGGAAUCACAAUGGCUAUGUGAACAGCUUAUGGAGGUCUGGCUUACAUGCCCAGCACCAGGAAGGCUUCUUUCUUGGCAUAUCCUUGCUACUAAAGCAGCUGACAAAAGUCCAUUUGGAAGCACCUUGGAAACCAUGAAGGUAUUGCUUUGAAGAUCAAAGAAGGCAUACAGUAGGAAAAACCUUUGAGUAGGAUCCAAAUCCUAGGAGAAAAAAGUUUGCGUUUUUUGCCCCCCUAAAGAAAAGAUGAGUACUAUCGGAACACUUAAAUCAACUAAUGUUGUGUUUUUAUGCUUUACUUCUUCCUUAACUUUGGCUCCCACAUUAUUUUCUGUUUCCGUUCUCUAUCCUUAUCUUAGAGGUCCAGCUCAGAUAUCUAAAAUGCAUCUCCCUUUUUUAUACUCAUGUAAUUUCCUUUUCUCAUUAUCAUCUCCCCCCUAUCCCAAGUGUUGGAUCUAGGAUUUUGUGUAUAUCAAGGCAUCCAAGAUUCUUUGGAGCUUGAUCACGCUAGUCUUUGGGGUUUAAAAUUAUAAUCACGGUAGAUUGCGAGCU